UGUGGAUUUCCACAGCUCAUCUGAAAUGCCUGAGUGUACCCCACUUUGUGGCGUAUUCGGUGUGAUAAAUCUUCACCGGAGUUGAUCCUUUUGGGUUGCGUCUGUAUCAGUGUGGCUCUAUGCUUCCAACCGUCCUUCACAGGGACAAAUCCCUUGACAAUUUGACCUCAAAUCGGGUGGGACUACCCGCUGAACUUAAGCAUAUCAAUAAGCGGAGGAAAAGAAACUAACAAGGAUUCCCCUAGUAACGGCGAGUGAAGAGGGAAAAGCUCAAAUUUUGAAUCUGGUGUCUUUGACUCCCGAGUUGUAAUCUAGAGAAGUGUUUUCCGUGUCGGACCGUGCACAAGUUCCCUGGAAUGGGGCGUCAUAGAGGGUGAGAAUCCCGUAUAUGGCACGGACUGCCGAUGCUCUGUGAUACACUCUCAACGAGUCGAGUUGUUUGGGAAUGCAGCUCAAAAUGGGUGGUAAAUUCCAUCUAAAGCUAAAUAUUGGCGAGAGACCGAUAGCGAACAAGUACCGUGAGGGAAAGAUGAAAAGCACUUUGGAAAGAGAGUGAAACAGUACGUGAAAUUGUUGAAAAGGGAAGCGUUUGAAGUCAGUCAUGUCUGGUGGGAUUC
rnacentral:rRNA from 1 species